rnacentral:rRNA from 1 species
CGAGUGAGAAUGCCGGAAUGAGUAGCGAGAAUUAUGUGGGAAUCAUAAUGGCCGAAAAUCUAAGGUUUCUUGGGGAAGGUUCGUCCGCCCAAGGUAAGUCGGGAGCUAAGGCGAGGCCGAGAGGCGUAGUCGAUGCACAUACGGUAGAAAUUCCGUAACCACCGAAACUUAAGUCAGAGGGACACUUCAGAAUAGCGGAACCGCGGCGUUGGUAGACCGCGGCGAAAGGGACUGAAAUAUAGUAGGGAAGUCCGCGAUGUCUGGAGGCGAGAAAAGCUCUGAGGUAUGCUAAGGUGCCCGUACCGCAAACCGACACAGGUAGAUGAGGAGAGAAUCCUAAGGCCAACGGGAGAAGGGUUGUCAAGGAACUCGGCAAGUUGACCCCGUAACUUCGGAAGAAGGGGAGCCUCGAAAGAGGCCGCAGUGAAUAGGCCCAGGCAACUGUUUACCAAAAACACAGGUCUAUGCUAAAUCGAAAGAUGACGUAUAUGGGCUGACGCCUGCCCGGUGCCGGAAGGUUAAGAGGAGAUGUCAGGCAACGAAGCAUCGAAUUGAAGCCCCGGUAAACGGCGGCCGUAACUAUAACGGUCCUAAGGUAGCGAAAUUCCUUGUCAGGUAAGUUCUGACCCGCACGAAUGGCGUAAUGAUCUGGGCACUGUCUCGACAGCCCACCCGGCGAAAUUGUAGUACUGGUGAAGAUGCCAGUUACCCGCAACUAGACGGAAAGACCCCAUGGAGCUUUACUGCAGCUUAAUACUGGAAAUCGGUAAUUCAUGUACAGGAUAGGUGGGAGACGGAGAAGCAUGGUCGUCAGGUCAUGUGGAGUCGCCCUUGGGAUACCACUCUUGGAUUGCUGGUUUUCUAACCUGCGGCCGUGAAUCCGGUCGGGGGACACUGUUAGGCGGGCAGUUUGACUGGGGCGGUCGCCUCCAAAAAGGUAACGGAGGCGCUCAAAGGUUCGUUCAGCACGGACGGAAAUCGUGCAUUGAGUGUAAACGCAUAAACGAGCCUAACUGCGAGACCGACGGGUCGAGCAGUAACGAAAGUUGGAGUUAGUGAUCCGGUGGUAUGUGAGUGGAAAUGCCAUCGCUCAACGGAUAAAAGCUACCCUGGGGAUAACAGGCUGAUCUCCCCCAAGCGUCCACAGCGACGGGGAGGUUUGGCACCUCGAUGUCGGCUCGUCGCAUCCUGGGGCUGAAUUCGGUCCCAAGGGUUUGGCUGUUCGCCAAUUAAAGCGGCACGCGAGCUGGGUUCAGAACGUCGUGAGACAGUUCGGUCCCUAUCUGUUGCGGGCGUAAGAGAUUUGAAGGGAGCUGUCCUUAGUACGAGAGGACCGGGAUGGACGUACCUCUGGUGCACCAGUUGUCCUGCCAAGGGCAUAGCUGGGUAGCUAUGUACGGACGAGAUAAACGCUGAAAGCAUCUAAGCGUGAAACUCCCCCUAAGAUGAGAUCUCUCAUUCGAAAGAAGUAAGGACCCAGAGAGACGAUCUGGUUGAUAGGCGCGAGGUGGAAGUGCAGUAAUGUAUGGAGCUGACGCGUACUAAUAGUCCGAGGGCUUGACCU